GGAGUGUGCAAGCGUUACUCGGAAUCACUGGGCAUAAAGCGCGCGUAGGCGGGCUUUCAAGUCGGUUGUGAAAUCCCUCAGCUCAACUGAGGAACCGCAUCCGAUACUGUUUGUCUUGAGGACGAGAAGGGAGAGUGGAACUUCUGGUGGAGCGGUGAAAUGCGUAGAUAUCAGAAGGAACGCCGGUGGCGAAAGCGACUCUCUGGCUCGUAUCUGACGCUGAGGCGCGAAAGCUUGGGUAGCAAACGGGAUUAGAUACCCCGGUAGUCCAAGCCGUAAACGAUGAACACUAGGGAGAGGAGACCCCGAUGUCUUCCCUCCUGGAGCAAAUGUAUUAAGUGUUCCGCCUGGGGAGUACAGUCGCAAGGCCG
rnacentral:rRNA from 1 species